UACAGAGGUCCCCGAGCGUUGUUCGGAAUUACUGGGCGUAAAGGGCGCGUAGGCGGCGGUGCAAGUUGCGGGUCAAAUGCCCGGGGGCUCAACCCCGGAUCGCUCGCAAGACUGCAUUGUCUAGAGGGAUUGUCAGGGGAGGAUCGGAAUUACUCGGUGUAGCAGUGAAAUGCGUAGAUAUCGAGAGGAACACCGGUGGCGAAGGCGGAUCUCUGGGCAAUUGCUGACGCUGAGGCGCGAAAGCC
rnacentral:rRNA from 1 species